rnacentral:misc_RNA from 1 species
GAAGGAGAUUGCUGAGGCUUAUCUUGGAACAACUAUCAAGAACGCAGUCGUCACAGUACCUGCUUACUUCAAUGAUUCGCAGCGUCAGGCAACUAAAGAUGCUGGUGUCAUAUCCGGGCUUAAUGUGAUGCGUAUUAUCAACGAGCCGACAGCAGCUGCAAUUGCCUAUGGACUUGACAAGAAGUCUACCAGUACUGGUGAGAAAAAUGUGUUGAUUUUCGAUUUGGGUGGUGGUACUUUCGAUGUGUCUCUUCUCACUAUUGAAGAGGGGAUUUUUGAGGUUAAAGCUACUGCUGGUGAUACUCACUUGGGAGGUGAGGAUUUUGAUAAUAGAAUGGUGAAUCAUUUUGUUCAAGAGUUUAAGAGAAAGCAUAAGAAGGAUAUCAGUGGGAAUCCAAGAGCAUUGAGGAGGUUAAGG